rnacentral:rRNA from 1 species
UACGGAGGGGGCUAGCGUUGUUCGGAAUUACUGGGCGUAAAGCGCACAUAGGCGGCUUUGUAAGUUAGAGGUGAAAGCCCAGGGCUCAACCCUGGAAUUGCCUUUAAGACUGCAUCGCUUGAACAUCGGAGAGGUAAGUGGAAUUCCGAGUGUAGAGGUGAAAUUCGUAGAUAUUCGGAAGAACACCAGUGGCGAAGGCGACUUACUGGACGAUUGUUGACGCUGAGGUGCGAAAGCGUGGGGAGCAAACAGG